rnacentral:rRNA from 1 species
UACGUAGGGUGCGAGCGUUGUCCGGAAUUACUGGGCGUAAAGAGCUCGUAGGUGGUUUGUCGCGUCGUCUGUGAAAUUCCGGGGCUUAACUUCGGGCGUGCAGGCGAUACGGGCAAUACUUGAGUGCUGUAGGGGAGACUGGAAUUCCUGGUGUAGCGGUGAAAUGCGCAGAUAUCAGGAGGAACACCAAUGGCGAAGGCAGGUCUCUGGGCAGUUACUGACGCUGAGGAGCGAAAGCAUGGGUAGCGAACAGGAUUAGA